rnacentral:rRNA from 1 species
UACGGAGGGUGCAAGCGUUAUCCGGAAUUACUGGGCGUAAAGGGUGCGUAGGUGGUUUCUUAAGUCAGAGGUGAAAGGCUACGGCUCAACCGUAGUAAGCCUUUGAAACUGAGAAACUUGAGUGCAGGAGAGGAGAGUAGAAUUCCUAGUGUAGCGGUGAAAUGCGUAGAUAUUAGGAGGAAUACCAGUUGCGAAGGCGGCUCUCUGGACUGUAACUGACACUGAGGCACGAAAGCGUGGGGAGCAAACAGG